AUUGCUGGCACCUAAGUGGUGGCUGAGUUGAGGGAUGCAGGCAUGUACACCUUCAUUUGAUCGAUGUGGACAUCUUCGAGCCCCAGGGGAUCAGCAAGCUGGAUGCCCAGGCCUCUUUCCUGCCGAAGGAACUGGCAGCCCAAACUAUCAAGAAGUCCUUCUCAGGAAAAAAGGGUCACGUGCUGUUCCGUCCCACUGUGAGCCAGCAGCAGUCCUGCCCCACAUGCUCUACAUCCUUACUGAACGGGCACUUCAAGGUGACCUACGAUGUCAGUCGAGACAAGAUCUGCGACCUCCUGGUGGCCAAUAACCACUUUGCCCACUUCUUCGCCCCCCAAAACCUGACAAACAUGAACAAGAAUGUGGUUUUUGUGAUUGACAUCAGUGGCUCCAUGAGAGGCCAGAAAGUGAAGCAGACCAAGGAGGCACUCCUUAAAAUUCUGGGGGACAUGCAGCCAGGGGACUACUUUGACCUGGUUCUUUUUGGGACUCGAGUACAAUCGUGGAAGGGCUCGCUGGUGCAAGCAUCUGAGGCCAACCUACAAGCA
rnacentral:sRNA from 1 species